rnacentral:rRNA from 1 species
ACGAACGCUGGCGGCGUGCCUAAUACAUGCAAGUAGAACGCUGAAGAGAGGAGCUUGCUCUUCUUGGAUGAGUUGCGAACGGGUGAGUAACGCGUAGGUAACCUGCCUUGUAGCGGGGGAUAACUAUUGGAAACGAUAGCUAAUACCGCAUAACAAUGGAUGACACAUGUCAUUUAUUUGAAAGGGGCAAAUGCUCCACUACAAGAUGGGCCUGCGUUGUAUUAGCUAGUAGGUGAGGUAACGGCUCACCUAGGCGACGAUACAUAGCCGACCUGAGAGGGUGAUCGGCCACACUGGGACUGAGACACGGCCCAGACUCCUACGGGAGGCAGCAGUAGGGAAUCUUCGGCAAUGGGGGCAACCCUGACCGAGCAACGCCGCGUGAGUGAAGAAGGUUUUCGGAUCGUAAAGCUCUGUUGUAAGUCAAGAACGAGUGUGAGAGUGGAAAGUUCACACUGUGACGGUAGCUUACCAGAAAGGGACGGCUAACUACGUGCCAGCAGCCGCGGUAAUACGUAGGUCCCGAGCGUUGUCCGGAUUUAUUGGGCGUAAAGCGAGCGCAGGCGGUUUGAUAAGUCUGAAGUUAAAGGCUGUGGCUCAACCAUAGUUCGCUUUGGAAACUGUCAAACUUGAGUGCAGAAGGGGAGAGUGGAAUUCCAUGUGUAGCGGUGAAAUGCGUAGAUAUAUGGAGGAACACCGGUGGCGAAAGCGGCUCUCUGGUCUGUAACUGACGCUGAGGCUCGAAAGCGUGGGGAGCGAACAGGAUUAGAUACCCUGGUAGUCCACGCCGUAAACGAUGAGUGCUAGGUGUUGGAUCCUUUCCGGGAUUCAGUGCCGCAGCUAACGCAUUAAGCACUCCGCCUGGGGAGUACGACCGCAAGGUUGAAACUCAAAGGAAUUGACGGGGGCCCGCACAAGCGGUGGAGCAUGUGGUUUAAUUCGAAGCAACACGAAGAACCUUACCAGGUCUUGACAUCCCGAUGCUAUUUCUAGAGAUAGAAAGUUACUUCGGUACAUCGGUGACAGGUGGUGCAUGGUUGUCGUCAGCUCGUGUCGUGAGAUGUUGGGUUAAGUCCCGCAACGAGCGCAACCCCUAUUGUCAGUUGCCAUCAUUCAGUUGGGCACUCUAGCGAGACUGCCGGUAAUAAACCGGAGGAAGGUGGGGAUGACGUCAAAUCAUCAUGCCCCUUAUGACCUGGGCUACACACGUGCUACAAUGGUUGGUACAACGAGUUGCGAGUCGGUGACGGCAAGCUAAUCUCUUAAAGCCAAUCUCAGUUCGGAUUGUAGGCUGCAACUCGCCUACAUGAAGUCGGAAUCGCUAGUAAUCGCGGAUCAGCACGCCGCGGUGAAUACGUUCCCGGGCCUUGUACACACCGCCCGUCACACCACGAGAGUUUGUAACACCCGAAGUCGGUGAGGUAACCUUUUGGAGCCAGCCGCCUAAGGUGGGAUAGAU